rnacentral:rRNA from 1 species
UACAGCAGUGGCAGACGGGUGAGUAACACGUGGGAACCUACCUAGGGGUACGGAAUAACUCAGGGAAACUUGUGCUAAUACCGUAUACGACCUUCGGGUGAAAGAUUUAUCGCCCCUAGAUGGGCCCGCGUUGGAUUAGCUAGUUGGUGGGGUAAAAGCCUACCAAGGCGACGAUCCAUAGCUGGUCUGAGAGGAUGAUCAGCCACACUGGGACUGAGACACGGCCCAAACUCCUACGGGAGGCAGCAGUAGGGAAUCUUGGACAAUGGGCGAAAGCCUGAUCCAGCCAUGCCGCGUGAGUGAUGAAGGCCUUAGGGUUGUAAAGCUCUUUCGCCAGGGAAGAUAAUGACGGUACCUGGAUAAGAAGCCCCGGCAAACUUCGUGCCAGCAGCCGCGGUAAUACGAAGGGGGCUAGCGUUGUUCGGAAUUACUGGGCGUAAAGCGCACGUAGGCGGUUUUCCAAGUUGGAGGUGAAAUCCCUGGGCUCAACCCGGGAACUGCCUCCAAAACUGGAUGACUCGAGUCCGAGAGAGGUGAGUGGAAUUUCCAGUGUAGAGGUGAAAUUCGUAGAUAUUGGAAAGAACACCAGUGGCGAAGGCGGCUCACUGGCUCGGUACUGACGCUGAGGUGCGACAGCGUGGGGAGCAAAC